rnacentral:rRNA from 1 species
UACGGAGGGUGCAAGCGUUAUCCGGAUUCACUGGGUUUAAAGGGUGCGUAGGUGGGUAGGUAAGUCAGUGGUGAAAUCUCCAAGCUCAACUCGGAAACUGCCAUUGAUACUAUCUGUCUUGAAUACCGUGGAGGUCAGCGGAAUAUGUCAUGUAGCGGUGAAAUGCUUAGAUAUGACAUAGAACACCAAUUGCGAAGGCAGCUGGCUACACGAAUAUUGACACUGAUGCACGAAAGCGUGGGGAUCAAACAGG